rnacentral:lncRNA from 1 species
GGAUCAAUUAUAAGCCCUAUUUUAAAACAAAUAUAUAUAUAUAAAGAAAUAUUUCCUUCAGAUUAAUGAAAGUGGUAUACUUUGUGACUAAUUCAGUAUAUUUCCUUCAAAUUAAAAAAUAUUUUCAGAAUUCAUUAAAAAAUAUUAGGCGUGAUAAUGGGUCGUGUCGUGUCGGGUUUAUGUCGUGUCGAGAUUUUAAACAGGUCAGAAAUGGUCAACUCAAACACGACCCGUUUAUAAACGGGUUGACACGACCCAACCCAUGUAACCCGCCACCUGUUCAUUUUUUAUUAUAACUAAAUUAAUAAUUUUAACAGUUUGAUAAAACUUCCCCCAAAUACAAC